rnacentral:rRNA from 1 species
UACGUAGGGUGCGAGCGUUAAUCGGAAUUACUGGGCGUAAAGCGUGCGCAGGCGGUUUUGUAAGUCAGAUGUGAAAUCCCCGGGCUUAACCUGGGAACUGCAGUCGGGACUGUCUAGCUAGAGUAUGGGAGAGGGAAGUGGAAUUUCAGGUGUAGCGGUGAAAUGCGUAGAUAUCUGAAGGAACAUCAGUGGCGAAAGCGACUUCCUGGACCAAUACUGACGCUCAUGUGCGAAAGCGUGGGGAGCAAACAGG